CACAACCGCAGAGGAAGAGGAGCCGUGUUUAUUGUUGAUUGUGCCAUGCCAUCGUAGGGUUUUUCGCGUAAUAAACCAUCUUAAUUUAUAUUACAAGGAUAUAUGUAUGUGUUUUUUGGACGAGGGUGAUAUUUAUUUUUGGUACAUUAACCAGCGACUAAAAUGACUGACGUUAAUUGUGGGUCUUUACAGACCCAGUUGGGUGCUAUAAUGGAAGUCUUAGCAAAGGCUGCUAUCACAGAAAUAAUACAACUUUUUGACGACAGCUAUGCAGUGUUGCGCCUUGAGAUUUCCCGACAUCAAAACGAUAAUGUGGAGCUUAAAAGGAAAUUGCAAGAGGCGAAAGAAGAACUAAGGACUGUACAAAUACGAAUUGAAGCAGAUGACCUGGCAGGACAGGACUGGAGCCCACUGAGAGGUGGGGUGGGGGGGGCAGCAAGAUGCAGCAGCCCUGAACAGCCACUGAGUGCUGAGGACAAGGUGGGUGUAGAGAGAGCUGAUGAGGACAAGGUGGGUGUAGAGAGAGCUGAGGACAGGGUGGGUGUACAGAGAGCUGAGGACAAGGUGGGUGUAGAGAGAGCUGAUGAGGACAAGGUGGGUCGAGAGAGGACUGAUGAGGACAAGGUGGGUCGAGAGAGGACUGAGGACAAGGUGGGUGUAGCGAGUGCUGAUGAGGACAAGGUGGGUGCAGAGAGAGCUGAUGAGGACAAGGUGGGUCGAGAGAGGACUGAUGAGGACAAGGUGGGUGUAGAGAGAGCUGAGGACAAGGUGGGUGUAGAGAGAGCUGAUGAGGACAAGGUGGGUCGAGAGAGGACUGAGGAUAAGGUGGGUCGAGAGAGGACUGAGGAUAAGGUGGGUGUAGAGAGAGCUGAGGAUAAGGUGGGUCGAGAGAGGACUGAUGAGGACAAGGUGGGUGCAGAGAGAGCUGAUGAGGACAAGGUGGGUCGAGAGAGGACUGAGGACAAGGUGGGUGUGUAGAGAAAGCUGAGGACAAGGUGGGUGUAGAGAGAGCUGAGGACAAGGUGGGUGUAGAGAGAGCUGAGGAUAAGGUGGGUGUAGAGAGAGCUGAGGAUAAGGUGGGUGUAGAGAGAGCUGAUGAGGACAAGGUGGGUGCAGAGAGAGAGCUGAUGAGGAUAAGGUGGGUGUAAAGAGAGCUGAUGAGGAUAAGGUGGGUGUAGAGAGAGAGCUGAGGACAAGGUGGGUGUAGAGAGAGAUGAGGACAAGGUGGGUGUAGAGAGAGAUGAGGACAAGGUGGGUGUAGAGAGAGCUGAUGAGGACAAGGUGGGUGUAGAGAGAGAUGAGGACAAGGUGGGUGUAGAGAGAGGACUGAUGAGGACAAGGUGGGUGUAGAGAGAGAUGAGGACAAGGUGUGUGUAGAGAGAGCUGAGGACAAGGUGGGUGUAGAGAGAGCUGAUGAGGACAAGGUGGGUGUAGAGAGAGAUGAGGACAAGGUGUGUGUAGAGAGAGCUGAGGACAAGGUGGGUGUAGAGAGAGGACUGAGGAUAAGGUGGGUCGAGAGAGGACUGAGGAUAAGGUGGGUGUAGAGAGAGCUGAGGACAAGGUGGGUGUAGAGAGGACUGAUGAGGACAAGGUGGGUGUAGUGAGAGGACUGAUGAGGACAAGGUGGGUGUAGAGAGAGGACUGAUGAGGACAAGGUGGGUGUAGAGAGCACUGAUGAGGACAAGUUGGGUCGAGAUUGAGGACUGAUGAGGACAAGGUGGGUGUAGAGAGAGAGAGCUGAGGACAAGGUUGGUGUAGAGAGAGGACUGAUGAGGAUAAGGUGGGUGUAGAGAGGACUGAUGAGGACAAGGUGGGUGUAGAGAGAGGACUGAUGACAAGGUGGGUCGAGAGAGGACUGGAAGUGUAGAUGGAGUUUAG
ensembl:lncRNA